rnacentral:rRNA from 1 species
UGGCAGGUACAGAGGGAUGCUACCGGGCGACCGGAUGCGGAUCUCGAAAGCCUGUCCCAGUUCGGACUGGAGUCUGCAACCCGACUCCACGAAGUUGGAUUCGCUAGUAAUCGCGCAUCAGCCAUGGCGCGGUGAAUACGUUCCCGGGCCUUGUACACACCGCCCGUCAAGCCAUGGGAGCCGGGGGUGCCUGAAGUUCGUUACCGCAAGGAUCGACCUAGGGCAAAACUGGUGACUGGGGCUAAGUCGUAACAAGGUAAC